UACCCGGUUCGUACUGUGGAGAUGGCCCUAACUACCGGCCCUGCCCUCGUGGAUACCAAUGUAGUGUACACGAAUUGGACGCCUUUGCUGUCUGUUGCCCUAGUAGACGACGUGGAUAUGGAGUUUGAGAAAACACUUGGUUUAAGUCUUGUAAUUUUAAUCGUCCGUGUAGAAAUUAAUGUUUUUAAAAUGUCAAUUUCACUAGUACUGAUGCAUGGUUUGUUAUUAAUGCUUUCAUCAAGAAAUAAAUUCCUUGUUAUCA